UUGUAACACCAAUUUUCAUCCAAUCACUGAAGUUAAGCAAUGUUAAUCCAGGCUAGUACGUAGAUGGGUGACUGUUUGGGAAUACUAGGAGUUGUAAG